UGUUCGAUCCCUCUUCCAAACUAUUUUUCCCCGAAAAAAAAACACCAUCCAGUCCUCUUCCCUCCCCGUCGCUUCCAGCCUCGUUCGGCUGCACAGGCCCAGCCGAACGGCUGAUCAGCCCAGCAGCUUUCCUGUUAUUGGCGUCAUGUACUUCAAUUUCCAGCAGGCUGAAUUAGCCGGUUUGAACUUCCAGAGUUAUAUUACACACGUACCUCGCUGCAGACAUAGCACUCCUUUUUUGCUGCCUUGUCUUUCACAUAGUGGAGCUCCUCUCCCAUCCCUGAAUUGUGAUAUUGGGUCCAGCACUAGUGCGAGUAUGAGCACCAGAUUGAGUACCUUGGCACUUUGAUGUGGAGCGUGGUUCUGCGGCAGGUUGGCACAAAUGCUCAGAUGCGAAUUGCCCUGAAGUGGCUGGCAGCAAUGCUGGUCACAUCAUGGCAAAAGGGGUUCCUAUAUGAGCUUGGUGUACAUGCUGUGCUGAAACUGAUGUCGAGCCUCGACAUAGCAAUUCAGGACAAGAUGUGAGCAGAGCAACCAUGGUUGUAUUCAAUCCUUUCUAUCUCAUGUUUCUGGCGUGCCUUGAAAUCGUGGUAAGAUGCUUGAUUCAUAUGCUAUUGGAAAAAUAUGCUUUGGUUCCAUCUGAUUUUGAACUAUCAAUCAAAUGGCAUGAUGUAUUUAUAGGCAGCAAAUUAUCACGGAAAUGUGCUCCCUGUUCACUUGAAGGAGCCACCGGGUUUCAAGUAUUGAGACCGGGUGCGGGAUGUCUGAACUUGGUAGCCAUAUAGAUUUGAUUGUCAUUUAAAAAUCACAUGCCCAAAAUGUGGAGUAAAACUGAUGAGACCAAAUAGAGAUUUUCAGAAAGAGAUCAGCAUAAGACAUUCUCCUUUUUCCCUUUAUUUUUGAAUCCAAUGCUUGUUUGAUAGUCAUUGUUCAGAUCAAUGCUGUAGACUCUUCAACUUUGCACAACUGUGUAAGUCAUCAAAUUGUCUCUUCUUUCUUGAA